UACGAAGGGUGCUAGCGUUGUUCGGAAUUACUGGGCGUAAAGCGCGCGUAGGCUGUUUUCCAAGUCAGGGGUGAAAUCCUUGGGCUCAACCCAAGAAUUGCCUUUGAAACUGGAAGACUAGAGUGUCGGAGGGGAUAGCGGAAUUCCUAAUGUAGAGGUGAAAUUCGUAGAUAUUAGGAGGAACACCGGUGGCGAAGGCGGCUAUCUGGACGACAACUGACGCUGAGGCGCGAAAGCACGGGGAUCAAACAGG
rnacentral:rRNA from 1 species